rnacentral:rRNA from 1 species
AUGAUAGAGCUCGGCAUUUCGAAUCCGACUCGGGACGAACUCGGAGGCGUGCGUGGCCGCCACGCAGUCACGCGGCUAUAUUAUGCCUCCGCCCCGACUGAUUCGAUCGCGCUCUUCCCCUCCUCCGCCUCUCCCCACAUCGUACACACGCACGCGCGCGCUCUAGUUGUAGAUCCCGCCGGCCACCUCCAAACGGCGACCAUGGCGCUCGCAUCCGGGUUCUUCCCGCCGCCGUCGUACACCCCAGGUGAGUCCCAGCGCGCCCCCUUCUUCCUGGGCUUCGGCGGCGAGUGCUGCAACCCGUCGUUUGCCGGCUACUACGACUACGAGGAGUACGCCCCAUCGAGCCCAUCGCCGCUCACGAGCUCCAAGGACUACACUCCGUCGACCCCCCUGCAGUCGCCGGAGCCGGACUUCACUCCGUCGAGCCCGGACUACACUCCGGCGAGCCCCGACUACACUCCGGCGAGCCCGGACUACACUCCCUCGAGCCCCGAGUACACUCCGGCGAGCCCAGACUACACUCCGGCGAGCCCUUCGCCGUCGCUCGAGUACACUUCGUCGAGCCCUGUUCGGCUCGCUUUUAUGAUGCCGUCUCCUCUGCGCGGCGCAUCCCCAGACUACACGCCCCUGACGCCGUCAGAGCACGCUGCUACAUCACCUUACUAUACUCCGUUGAGUCCUCCCGGUCCCGGGCACGCUUCCUCGCCGGAUUACACGCCCAGCACGCCGCCUCCGUCCCCCCUGGUGGUGUCCGACGCCGAGUCGUGCGCGUCGCCGUAUUACACACCGUCAACUCCUUCCAGGCGCGCCGCGUCGCCGGACUACACGCCCAGCACGCCGCCUCCAUCACCCCUGGCGUCAGAAGCAGACUCGACCACGUCUACAGCGCGCUGCCGCCACCAUCCGUACCAGAGGAGCGGCGGCAGCUGGAUCAACCGCGGCGGACGUCAGCGAGCCUUGGGAUACUGA